ACGCACGCUGGCGGCGCGCUUCACACAUGCCAGUCGAACGGAAAGGCCUGCUUUCCCUUGUGGAUUGCGGGUACUCGAGUGGCGAACGGGUGAGUAACACGUGAGUGAUCUGCCCCCAACUUGGGUAUAAGCCUGGGAAACUGGGUCUAAUUCCCGAUAGGACUGCAGGGUGGUGCCUGUGGUGGAAAACGAUUUUCUAGUGGUUGGGGAUGAGCUCGCGGCCUAUCAGCUUGUUGGUGGGGUAAUGGCCUACCAAGGCGGCGACGGGUAGCCGGCCUGAGAGGGUGGACGGCCACAUUGGGACUGAGAUACGGCCCAGACUCCUACGGGAGGCAGCAGUGGGGAAUAUUGCACAAUGGGCGGAAGCCUGAUGCAGCGACGCCGCGUGGGGGAUGACGGCCUUCGGGUUGUAAACUCCUUUCGACCGCGAGGAAGCCACCUGGUUGGAAGGGUGGUGACGGUAGUCGUAGAAGAAGCACCGGCUAACUACGU
rnacentral:rRNA from 1 species